ACUCAAAUGAGAACUCUUAUCUACUAAUUACCUGCUAUUCCUCUCACAUCUGCAUUCCAGCAUCUCUCCUUCGCGCAAACGCGCGCGCGCAUUAAUGAAGCUCUUUCUCCGCGGAGCGCUAGAUUUGAAUGAACCGAGCAUCAGUCAUAGCUGAUCAAAAGAUAAGCGGCAACGGCGAUCUCUCGUCUCGUACCUUUAUGGAAAUUCACUCUUGAUCUCGGGCUUUACGAACGCGCGCGUUACCGGCUGGAGAGCCGCGCUCUCAUGCGCGGCCACGAGGAGGCGUUGCACUCCAGUUCAGAGCAGAGAGCUUCGACGGCACGAAUUCAACAGCGUCUUCUCUUGGUUUUCACACACGAUGACGUUAGGAAACAAAAGCAUGUUAAUGAUUUUCGGAGGCCACGGUCGAGCUGGAGAGCACUUCAAACUCAAGAGCAGGAAACACGCUGGGCUCCACAGGGUUCCCACAGCAUGGUUCGGGCCAUUUUACAGCUUCACAUCACCCCAGCUGACCCCUUGAUGACCACUUGACAAAAUGGAGGGGAGGGUGAGGACAAAAGAGAGCUGACCAAGGAAGAUGAGCGGCGGGAUGAAAGGAAAAGUGGAGAGGUAACGGUGGGAUGUGAAGGGAAAAAAAAACUGCACAAAGAGCGAUGAGACAUGCCGAAGCGGUGAGGUCAUCAGCACUUCCUUUUCAUCAAAUUCAUUCCAUACAUGUGCAUGCAAAUUCAACAAAGUAUUCUAUCUCUUUUUCAUUUGUAUUUUCUUCAUUAUAAUUGAUUAUUACUUUAUUUAAUGUAUGUAAACAUUUUACCCAACAGAGCCCGACUGUAUUCCACUUAGAUAAGGUCACUUCUUAAGUCAUGACAUACUUUAAUGAUAAAAACCCUCCGCUUCUCUCACUUCUGCCCCCAAACUCUCCAUGGAAGCAAUUACAUCAUAUUAAAAGGUCUAAAGAGGCAUCGGUAAUCAGAGGACAUCUCAAAUACAACACAAAUGAAACCCAAGGGCUAAUUGUUGCACAACUUACUCUGAAAAGAUGGAAAUAAUUGUAACCAGAAGGACGGAAUAUUCCCUGUACUUUUUUAUUUUGUAGGAAAGUUAUGGAGAUUACAACUGCAUGUUCAUAUUUAAGAAUCCCCCAAAGCAAAUUUACUGAUCCAAAGAUUAGAUUAAUGUUUCUUAGGUAAUCUUACCGAACAGGGCUGGCUCAAUAUAGUAGGGAGUUUAAUAAUCACAGAGGGUUAUUAUAAUUCUAUAUUAACUCUUGAUAAAUGUAUUUUUGAGAUUUAUUUACAGUGCUUUAGAUUUCUUUCUCUCUCUCUCUCUCUCUCUCUCUCUCUCUCUCUCUCUCUCUCUCUCUGUUCUUUUGUUGAAGUAUAUAUAUAUAUAUAUAUAUACUUUAUCCAGGUUAAUUGGGUUUACUAGGCAGGUUAGAGUAAUUAGGUAAGUUAUUAUAUAACGAUGGUUCUGUCAACUAUAAAAAAAUUUUUUUUUUUUAAUUAAAAACUGCUUUUAUUCUAGCCAAAAUAAAACAAAUAAUACUUUCUUGUUUCUAUAAAAAAUAUUAUCAGAUAUACUGUGAAAAUUACCUUAAUGUUACAUAUCAUUUGGGAAAUAUUUAAAAAAAAAAAGAAAAAAAAUCUAAGGGGGGCUAAUAAUUCUGGUUUCAACUGUACAUAGAUAAUUUUGGAAGCACCAAGCAAAAAAUAUGAAAUAUUUUUACAGUUAAUAAUCAUCUUUUUAUAUAGCAAUUUGGCAAAAAAAAAAAAAAACUUGCUGAUGUUUCUGUCUGAAAAACAGUGAAGGAGCUGACUCUGUCAAAUGCAGAUACAGCAAGUUCUGCUGAAACUCCAGGAUAUUUUCCAUAACUGUUUUAAAAAGCUGUGCAGGCUCUACAUUCAUUUUAUUGUUAUAUUUCACUGAUGACACGGUGCCUUUUUAUGUGAAUUCUAUAGUACCAAUUUUGUGAAUUGUGACCUAACACUUUAGAUAAGGUCACAAUUCAUGCUAUUAACUACUGGGUUAUUACUUGCCGAUUAUUAAGUUAUUAACUGUUUAUUACUAUUAGUUAUAAAGUAUGAUCUUACUCUGCAUCCCUAAUCCCACCCAAAACCUAAACCCAACUUCUACAUUACUAAUUGUUAAUAAACAGCUAAUUAGUCAUUUAUUAAGCCAGUAGUGUUAGUUAAAGGUUUGUUAUUACUGUCAAUUGUGACCUAAACUAAAGUGUUACCAAGGUUUCUAAUAAGCAAAUGAUUUAAGGGGGAAAAAAAUUCAUUGUUAAUCAGGAACAUUUUAAAUUAAUACAUUUUUGGCACAAAGUAAAUGAAAAAUUGCUGCUUUAGGUAAUUAGGUAAAAUAAUUUAGGUAAAAAUUGUAAUUUUUUUGCCUAUCUAUUGUUGUGCUAAUCUUGUAAACAUAUUGUUUGUAAUAAACUUAUUUACAUCUAUACAGUAGCUUUAUUGUUUCAUUUGUCAUGUAAUAUAAAUGUGCGCAUCCCCCCUCUUUGACCAGACUUUUUUUUUUUCUUUGGGUGACUCAUUUUGUUCAUGUUGUUCUGUCUGCUG
rnacentral:lncRNA from 1 species